CAAUAGCGUAUAUUAAAGUUGUUGCGGUUAAAAAGCUCGUAGUCGGAUUUUGGCUGAGAACGAACGGUCCGCCGUUAGGUGUGCACUGUUUGGUCUCAGCUUCCUGGUGAGGAGGUGUGCUUCACGGCCACUUAGUCACCGUGGUUACUUUGAAAAAAUUAGAGUGUUCAAAGCGGGCUUACGCUUGAAUAUAUUAGCAUGGAAUAACACCAUAGGACUCCUGUCCUAUUUCGUUGGUCUCGGGACGGGAGUAAUGAUUAAGAGGAACAGUUGGGGGCAUUCGUAUUCCAUUGUCAGAGGUGAAAUUCUUGGAUUUAUGAAAGACGAACUUCUGCGAAAGCAUUUGCCAAGGAUGUUUUCAUUGA
rnacentral:rRNA from 1 species